CUUACACAUGCAAGUCGAGGGGUAUAGUUCUUCGGAAUUAGAGACCGGCGCACGGGUGCGUAACGCGUAUGCAAUCUACCUUUCACAGAGGGAUAGCCCAGAGAAAUUUGGAUUAAUACCUCAUAGUAUUAUGAUAUGGCAUCAUAUUAUAAUUAAAGUCACAACGGUGAAAGAUGAGCAUGCGUCCCAUUAGCUAGUUGGUAAGGUAACGGCUUACCAAGGCGACGAUGGGUAGGGGUCCUGAGAGGGAGAUCCCCCACACUGGUACUGAGACACGGACCAGACUCCUACGGGAGGCAGCAGUGAGGAAUAUUGGACAAUGGGCGCAAGCCUGAUCCAGCCAUGCCGCGUGCAGGAUGACGGUCCUAUGGAUUGUAAACUGCUUUUGCACAGGAAGAAACAACGCUACGUGUAGCGUCUUGACGGUACUGUGAGAAUAAGGAUCGGCUAACUCCGUGCCAGCAGCCGCGGUAAUACGGAGGAUCCAAGCGUUAUCCGGAAUCAUUGGGUUUAAAGGGUCCGUAGGCGGUUUAGUAAGUCAGUGGUGAAAGCCCAUCGCUCAACGGUGGAACGGCCAUUGAUACUGCUAGACUUGAAUUAUUAGGAAGUAACUAGAAUAUGUAGUGUAGCGGUGAAAUGCUUAGAGAUUACAUGGAAUACCAAUUGCGAAGGCAGGUUACUACUAAUGGAUUGACGCUGAUGGACGAAAGCGUGGGUAGCGAACAGGAUUAGAUACCCUGGUAGUCCACGCCGUAAACGAUGGAUACUAGCUGUUGGGAGCGAUCUCAGUGGCUAAGCGAAAGUGAUAAGUAUCCCACCUGGGGAGUACGUUCGCAAGAAUGAAACUCAAAGGAAUUGACGGGGGCCCGCACAAGCGGUGGAGCAUGUGGUUUAAUUCGAUGAUACGCGAGGAACCUUA
rnacentral:rRNA from 1 species